rnacentral:rRNA from 1 species
AUUGAACGCUGGCGGCAGGCCUAACACAUGCAAGUCGAACGAGUGGCGGACGGGUGAGUAAUGUCUGGGAAACUGCCCGAUGGAGGGGGAUCACCACUGGAAACGGUAGCUUAUACCCCCUACCCUCCGUUGAGCCCAGAUGGGAUUAGCUAGUAGGUGGGGUAACGGCUCACCUAGGCGACGAUCCCUAGCUGGUCUGAGAGGAUGACCGGCCACACUGGAACUGAGACACGGUCAAGACUCCUACGGGAGGAAGCAGUGGGGAAUAUUGCACAAGGGGGGCAAGCCUGAUGCAGCCAGGCGGCGUGGAGGAAGAAGGCCUUCGGUUUGUAAAGUACUUUCAGCGAGGAGGCGGUACUCGCAGAAGAAGCACCGGCUAACUACGUGCCAGCAGCCGCGGUAAUUC